UUUUUUAAAGUUUUAUAUCUGCUCAGGACGAACGCUGGCGGCGUGCCUAAUACAUGCAAGUCGAGCGGACAGAAGGGAGCUUGCUCCCGGAUGUUAGCGGCGGACGGGUGAGUAACACGUGGGUAACCUGCCUGUAAGACUGGGAUAACUCCGGGAAACCGGAGCUAAUACCGGAUAGUUCCUUGAACCGCAUGGUUCAAGGAUGAAAGACGGUUUCGGCUGUCACUUACAGAUGGACCCGCGGCGCAUUAGCUAGUUGGUGAGGUAACGGCUCACCAAGGCGACGAUGCGUAGCCGACCUGAGAGGGUGAUCGGCCACACUGGGACUGAGACACGGCCCAGACUCCUACGGGAGGCAGCAGUAGGGAAUCUUCCGCAAUGGACGAAAGUCUGACGGAGCAACGCCGCGUGAGUGAUGAAGGUUUUCGGAUCGUAAAGCUCUGUUGUUAGGGAAGAACAAGUGCAAGAGUAACUGCUUGCACCUUGACGGUACCUAACCAGAAAGCCACGGCUAACUACGUGCCAGCAGCCGCGGUAAUACGUAGGUGGCAAGCGUUGUCCGGAAUUAUUGGGCGUAAAGGGCUCGCAGGCGGUUUCUUAAGUCUGAUGUGAAAGCCCCCGGCUCAACCGGGGAGGGUCAUUGGAAACUGGGAAACUUGAGUGCAGAAGAGGAGAGUGGAAUUCCACGUGUAGCGGUGAAAUGCGUAGAGAUGUGGAGGAACACCAGUGGCGAAGGCGACUCUCUGGUCUGUAACUGACGCUGAGGAGCGAAAGCGUGGGGAGCGAACAGGAUUAGAUACCCUGGUAGUCCAGGCGCCGUAAACGAUGAGUGCUAAGUGUUAGGGGGUUUCCGCCCCUUAGUGCUGCAGCUAACGCAUUAAGCAUUCCGCCUGGGGAGUACGGUCGCCAAGACUGAAACUCAAAGGAAUUGACGGGGGCCCGCACAAGCGGUGGAGCAUGUGGUUUAAUUCGAAGCAACGCGAAGAACCUUACCAGGUCUUGACAUCCUCUGACAACCCUAGAGAUAGGGCUUUCCCUUCGGGGACAGAGUGACAGGUGGUGCAUGGUUGUCGUCAGCUCGUGUCGUGAGAUGUUGGGUUAAGUCCCGCAACGAGCGCAACCCUUGAUCUUAGUUGCCAGCAUUCAGUUGGGCACUCUAAGGUGACUGCCGGUGACAAACCGGAGGAAGGUGGGGAUGACGUCAAAUCAUCAUGCCCCUUAUGACCUGGGCUACACACGUGCUACAAUGGACAGAACAAAGGGCUGCGAGACCGCAAGGUUUAGCCAAUCCCACAAAUCUGUUCUCAGUUCGGAUCGCAGUCUGCAACUCGACUGCGUGAAGCUGGAAUCGCUAGUAAUCGCGGAUCAGCAUGCCGCGGUGAAUACGUUCCCGGGCCUUGUACACACCGCCCGUCACACCACGAGAGUUUGCAACACCCGAAGUCGGUGAGGUAACCUUUAUGGAGCCAGCCGCCGAAGGUGGGGCAGAUGAUUGGGGUGAAGUCGUAACAAGGGGUAACCGAAA
rnacentral:rRNA from 1 species